CCCUUAGAUGUCCUGGGCUGCACGCGCGCUACACUGAUGCGUCCAAUAAGCACCUAACCUAAUCCGAAGGGACCGGGUAACCUUAGCAAAGCACAUCGUGAUGGGGAUAGAUUAUUGCAAUUAUUAGUCUUGAACGAGGAAUUCCUAGUAAGCACAAGUCAUCAGCUUGUGUUGAUUACGUCCCUGCCCUUUGUACACACCGCCCGUCGCUCCUACCGAUUGAAUGUUCCGGUGAGCUCUUCGGACUGCGCGGUCUGCAGUUUCUGCGUUCCGUGCGGAAAGUUGUGCAAACCUUAACAUUUAGAGGAAGGAGAAGUCGUAACA
rnacentral:rRNA from 1 species